UACAGAGGGGGCAAGCGUUGUUCGGAAUUACUGGGCGUAAAGGGCGCGUAGGCGGCCUGUUAAGUCGAACGUGAAAUCCCCGGGCUCAACCCGGGAACUGCGUCCGAUACUGGCAGGCUUGAAUCCGGGAGAGGGAUGCGGAAUUCCAGGUGUAGCGGUGAAAUGCGUAGAUAUCUGGAGGAACACCGGUGGCGAAGGCGGCGAUCCUGGACCAAUACUGACGCUGAGGAGCGAAAGCCAGGGGAGCAAACGGGG
rnacentral:rRNA from 1 species